AGGACGAACGCUGGCGGCGUGCUUAACACAUGCAAGUCGAACGAGGCCCUGCCUUCGGGCAGGUGACCUAGUGGCGAACGGGUGAGUAACACGUGAGUAACCUGCCCCUAGCUUCGGGAUAGCUCCGGGAAACCGGGAUUAAUACUGGAUACGACCACCUUAGACAUCUUUUGUGGUGGAAAGAAUUUCGGCUAGGGAUGAGCUCGCGGCCUAUCAGCUUGUGGUGGGUAACGCCUACCAAGGCGACGACGGGUA
rnacentral:rRNA from 1 species